CCCUUAGAUGUCCUGGGCCGCACGCGCGUUACACUGAUGCAUUCAACGAGCUUAUAACCUUGGCCGAGAGGCCUGGGCAAUCUUGUUAACGUGCAUCGUGAUAGGGAUAGAUUAUUGAAAUUAUUAAUCUUGAACGAGGAAUUCCUAGUAAACGCAGAUCAUCAAUCUGCAUUGAUUACGUCCCUGCCCUUUGUACACACCGCCCGUCGCACCUACCGAUUGAAUGGUCCGGUGAAAUCUUCGGAUCUGAGAGAUGUUGGAUUAAUUUCUGACGCCUUUUGGAAAAGUCGCUUAAACCUUAUCAUUUAGAGGAAGGUGAAGUCGUAACA
rnacentral:rRNA from 1 species